GUCCUUGUAGCUCAGCUGGAUAGAGCGAUAGCCUCCUAAGCUGUAGGUCAGCGGUUCAAAUCCGCUCAAGGACACCA
rnacentral:tRNA from 1 species